rnacentral:sRNA from 1 species
CUGCGGGGGCUGAGAGGCAACUCCCCUACGGGAGCAGGAGGAAGACGCGACUGUGAGUUAAAAGAAUCCCAAAUUGUGCGAGGACCGGCGCUCUUCCUGGCAUUCAUGGGCAGCUUCCACCUAUUCAUGGUAGUGUCUUAAAGGUUGCCUGUGAGGUCCAAGAUGAUCAGAUGCCUAGGAUUUGACAGAUAAGCAAGAGCCAGGUUUCUUAGCGCAAUGAAUGUAGCCUGUAGUCCCAGCAUCAUUGUAGCUAAUUUAAAUCCGGUACAAGAAAAAAAGAGAGAGAGAGACAUCCUGUAUCAGAAUUCAUUCAGGAAGCCCACAGCCUUUGCAAACUCUUGAUCUUACUCUAGCGUAAAGGCAGCAGAGUUUGGAUCUCUCAGGGACACUGUGAAAGCAGGGUAGGGCCUACUGUGAUUUUUUUUCAUUAUUUUAGACCAAAGUUAAGUAUCCCAGAAGGAUCUCAACAAACCGGAGUGCCACAGCUAGUCUCCCAGGACUGAAGCCGAGAAAGAACCAGAGGAAAGAAAUGCUUCAUGAAGCCAGCAAAUCAAGAUCUAGAGCUUGGAACUGGAGAGAAUGACUCAGAGUGCUUGCUGCUCUCUGAUAGACUUCGUUCCGAGCAACCACUCCAGACAGUUCUCACCAUGGAAAACUCCAGCUCCGG